GUUUCGCCAUGGCGAUUAAAUUUGGAAAAAAUUCAAGCCGAAUAAAGAAAGACGAAACUUGAAUCUACUUGGUAUUCGUGGAGAAAUUAGUCAUAAAAGGCAAGAAAUGGAUAUGAACGCUACACCCAUCAUUUACUACGUUUAGAUAUUUAUGAACUCCAGUUAGCGGUGGGCUAUGCGAAUUCGAUCACUUGAUCGGCAAACUUUAAUAGUCCCUGAAUUCGCGGCUGAAGCAAAGAAGCGUAUUAUGGGCGAACUGGUAUGUCUUUCUGAAAUAUUUAUGAGACCCCGUACUUUGCAUCUCAGUACAUGACUCAUCGAAAUAUCGCCGCGAGCAUGCGUAAUUAUCGUCUUCCAAAGAGAGUGUGGACGGACUUGAAAAAAAGAAGAAAAAAAGAAGUUAGUCUUCAUGUAGUCUUGGACAUGGACAGCUCUAAAGAUGACGAAUACGCAGAUUUAGAAUGGGCAGUCGGGAUAAAUCGCUUUACUCUGAAGAUGAUCGGUCUCUGGCCCGACGAGACACUAAAUCGUCAGCAAAAAUUCUUCGCGGACAUACGAGCCUUCGCCAUUUUCUGCACGGUGUUCUUCGUGUCGGUCAUACCCGGACUGUUUUCAUUGAUAAGAGUCUGGGGCGAUAUGAUAGCAAUGAUAGACAACUUGCAAAUCACGCUACCCAUGAUUAUAACUUCCUUGAAAAUCAUCAUUAUGUGGCUUCGAAAAGAAGAUCUCACACCUAUCAUAAGCAUGGUCGUGGCGGAUUGGAUCAAAACGAAGACGGAGCGAGAGCGGGACGCCAUGAUCAAGCAAGCGUUGAUAGCGAGGAGGCUCGUCAUGUUUGGUUGCAUCAUGAUGGUUUUCGCGAUAAUCAUCAUCAUCAUUCCGCCGUGCUUCGGAUAUUCGAUGAGGUACCUGACGAACAUCACGGACCCGGGCGCACCGUUGCUGCUACAAACGUAUUACUUACACGACGUGACGGAGAGCCCAUACUUCGAGAUCGCAUUCGUCGCCCAGGCCGCGGCCGUCUUCAUGGCCGCGUUCUCUUACACGGGUAUUGACAAUUUCCUGGGACUGAUCGUCUUUCAUAUAUGCGCCCAGAUGGAGAUCCUCAAACUGCGAUUGCUUAACCUACACGUUUACAAAGACUUCAACGUCGGACUGUCGGUCAAUGUGCAGGAUCACAUACGCCUCAUCAGAUCAUCGAGGAGAACCAGAGCGUCUCCUUCCCGCGGAUAUGUUGGCUCACGUCGGUCAUUGUUAACACUUUCGUUCACAUGUGCCUCUACUGCGUUGUCGGCGAGAUUCUCAUUGCGAAAUGCGAAGGAAUAUAUUACGCGGUGUACGACUACGCGUGGUAUUCGUUGAAGCCGAACGAAGCCAGAAACCUGAUGUUGAUAAUGAUUCGCGCGGACAAACCUCUCUAUAUUACCGCGGGGAAGAUAUUUCCUAUGACACUCUCCAUGUUUUGCAGCUUGAUAAAGACGUCAGCCGGUUACAUAUCUGUGUUGCUGACUAACCGAUGAUGCCUCUGAACACUGACGUGGACAAUCUCCAAUGGAGAAUCAAUCUUUUACGGCAAAACGAUAAGAGAAUACACUUAAUGAGUGACGCUCGAGUGACUCGUCGAUCAAUUAUUACGAUGCCUGCUCGAUUGCGUGAGCAAUUGGCAAAAUUGCGAGUUUUGUAUAAGGGAAAAAAUAAUUCUCAUUUGUGUAACUAGUCACAAUAAGUAACUGUAUAUUCGCAUCGAGAACGUUUCCUCAUCUCUGUCUGUCUUCCUCCUAUCCAAAUGCGAUCUAAUCGAUUUCACUCGAUAGAACUCGACAUGCAUUUGCUAUUACUCAAUAAACAUCAUUAACAGUAACAUUAAUUACAUAAAUAAACAAAUAAACAUACAUUAUUAAGUA